rnacentral:rRNA from 1 species
AUGCCCUUGGAUCCACGCCACCCUGAAUCGGCGUCGUCCCGCUGCCUUCCAGUUGGGCAGCCACAAUACUCAACAAGCGUCGGCGCCUCUCCCGCCUUCCUCCACUGCGCCGAGGUCACCGGGCACCGAGGCGGACUAGGACAGGCCAUGGCCCCACCUCCUUCUGGUUGCCAGAUCCGGCGACCCCCCGUGGCCUGGGAUCCCCCCACCUCCGCCUCUGCGCCUCUGCAUCGCCGUCCUCGUCGGGCCCGACGUCGCUUAUCCGGCCACGCGAGGAUGCAGCCUGGCCCGGCCACAUCGUCGUCGUCCUCGUCUCAGGCCAUCACCGCCCGGAUCUGCACCACCACCGGUGCCCCGUCGCGCACCUAUCCACCUCCAGGGGCUGAUGAGGAGACCAGGCAGCGUCCAUCUCUCCUCUUUGGUGAGGCCUCGGAUGAGCAUCUCCGCCUCAGUCCAAUUCCUACCCCCGCGAUCUCUUCUUUUGGACUGAUUUGUUGA